UUACUAUAAUUUCCUUUCUAAAUUUAAUUUCAAAUUCUGUUACACCCAUCACUUUUAUAGAAUUAUAAUCUUUCUCAAUGUUCAAUUUUUUUCAGAAAUCGAUCAUCCAAAUGUUUCAUCGACCAUUGAUUAGCGAUAAACGAAACUUGUAAGUCAGAUGCAUUGUCGAAAAUUGUCACGCGUGAGAGGAUUGGUUAGAAACUCGUUAAAUUCGGCAACGUAAGUCUCCUGACAAUUCCCCUUUCUCCCAUUCCCUUGAUGCGCAAUUAGAGGCACGUUAAUUGCGCUGGAACGAAUCGUAUCGUUCGUUCUACAAUUGGCAGAAAGAUAUUGGUGGAAAUUUUUGCGAAAUUUACGAGAUACAAAUUGGCCAAUCGAAGAUUAUGCAACGAGGAAUUUAUCGAUAUUAGCUUCGAUUAUUUUGCGAUCGAUUUUCUAGGGGAAAUUCUUCGAGGUUUCUAUCAUGUGAACUAUGUUACAGGUUAUUUAUUGUAGGAAUUUAAUUAAGCUUGUGUUAUUGAUUGACUAUCGCUUGUGGCAACAUUGCGGAAUUUCGAGAUGGAUCCUCUUGCCACGAUACAUGCGUUAUGUAAAUAAUGGUAGAAGUGGAAGUGGGGCAGAGGAAAGAAUUUUAUUAAGUUAAAUAGAAAAAUGAUCUUCCAUCUUGUUUUUCCAUUAAAAGACGUAUAAAUUGAAAGUGAAGUAUCCCAAAUGAAACUUCUAACAAAAAUAAAAGAAAAUACAAUAAAGAUUGUAGAAAAUUAUUGAUACAUCACGUAUAUAAUCUUACAUAUUUCUGGAAGAGGAUGGUCAGUGAUAUUGAAUCGACGAAGGAGAAUCCGCGACUUAUCGCGACUCAAAGGGAUUCCAGACCGCUUUCGGAAGAGUGUCUCGCAGCUGUUCGUUAUCCAGGAGUGUAGCAACCAUUGAAGAUGUGCGCUUUGCAUUCCCUGGAAUUCCAGACAGUCCUUUGAAUCGAGAUCAUCCGCAUGAACUCUCUUCUCGCUCCAUUUCUUCGUUUAUUUAUCCGAUAUAUCCUCGAUCAAUGUCCAGAAUUUCGUUGCACUUGGAUCGUGAAAAAAAACUAUUUCGUUUAGCUUGAAUUGAAUGGAGAAAGAAUGCAAUCUCUUCUUCUUUCGCCUUUGGCGAGGAUAUUUUUUAAUGAAACUUGUUUGAAGUAUUGAUCGGAUAUUGAAUGGAAAAAGUGACUAUCUUUUGAUUAUUGAAAGGAAUGAUUAAAUUUUAGAACGGCUUUGAAAUAUUAUUUGAAUAUUCCU